AAAACAUAUUUUUUGUAAUUUAAUUAGUGGUUAGAUAAGCAAUCAAUAAAAUAAACACAAAGGUAAAACAAAGAGGUGCUUGGUGAUCCCUGCAAAAGCAUACCCAAAGAUGGACAAGGGAAGGUCCAAGAUAUGACCUUGUUUGUAUGCCAAAGAUGCAAAUGAGAUGUGGGAUCUUAGGGUUAAAAAUUAGGGUAUGACAGUUAGGUUAAGUUAGUAUUAUG
rnacentral:lncRNA from 1 species